AAGUCGUAACAAGGUUUCCGUAGGUGAACCUGCGGAAGGAUCAUUAACACGUAUCCAACGUUAAACCCCCCUGUGAAUUUUAUCGCUGCUCUUGAACAGAUUUUGAUUCAGGGACCUCUAACCCCGGUAGAUCUAUAGCUCAAUUUGAGCGCUUGUGCAAGUGGCCUGGUUUCCCCAAGCAGCUAGUGUCUGAAAGUGUCGCUGGUUGUGUAAGGAAAACGCUUUACGAUCGCUGGAGGCCGAACACCGGCCGGUGACCGGGCUGCUGUGGCUUUAUGCCCCCUAUAUUUACCCUACCUUAACUCGGGUCAGGAAACUGCUUCCCAUCAACCGAACAACUGUUAACAAUGGAUAUCUUUCUCGCAAC
rnacentral:misc_RNA from 1 species